ACAGCAGUCGCCACGGUAAUACGGAGGGUGCAAGCGUUAAUCGGAAUUACUGGGCGUAAAGCGCACGCAGGCGGUCUGACAAGUCAGAUGUGAAAUCCCCGGGCUUAACCUGGGAACUGCAUUUGAAACUGUCAGGCUGGAGUCUUGUAGAGGGGGGUGGAAUUCCAGGUGUAGCGGUGAAAUGCGUAGAGAUCUGGAGGAAUACCGGUGGCGAAGGCGGCCCCCUGGACAAAGACUGACGCUCAGGUGCGAAAGCGUGGGGAGCAAACAGGAUUAGAUACCCGGGUAGUCCCUGUCUCUUAUAC
rnacentral:rRNA from 1 species